CUCUACUGAAAAUGCAGAAUUACCCGGACGUGGUGGCACAUGCAUGUAAUCCCAGCUACUCGAGAGCCUGAGGCAGGAGACUCGCUUGAACCGGGGAGGCGGAGGUUGCGGGUUCAAGCAACCUGGGGAACAAGAGCGAAACUCAGCUUCAAAAAAAAAAAAAAAGUCUCCGGGCCAUAAUAGCUGUGUCAACUAUUAUGAUGAUGAUGGCCACGACUUGACAUUCUUCCCGGUGAAAUUAACACCUCUUUGUCCAGCAGCAGCAUGGGCCCCUCCCUUCCCGCUACGAUCAAAUCUUGGCUUCACUCUGUCCUAGCUUUCUUACAGGUGCAUUUGUUUGCGGGGUGAGGGGGGGCGUCAGACAUUAUUGUCCCUGCCCUCCAAACUCUCCAAGAACAACCCUGAUCUCCUGGACUGUCCCCUUCACAACCAAACACACAGUGAGGGCAUGGUACACCAUGAAGGCCCUCAGCAGUUGCUGGCACCUUGAUAUUGGACUUCUCAGCCUCCAGAAACAUGAGAAAUACAUUCCUUUUCUUUAUAAAUUAUCCAGUCUGUGUCGUUACAUUAUAGCAACACAAAAUGGACUGAGACAAGUACCCAUCUACUGCUGUGUCUGAGCCCCUGGGUAGGUUCGGAACAGAGAUGGUCACCAUAAGGCAGUAAAGUUUAAUCAGUCAAACACAGAGCUUCAGGGCACUGGCACCCAGACUGUGAUGGAGAGAAGGAAAGAGCAACAAAUGAACAGCGACGCUGGUAGUUGGCUACAACCUGGCUGUAAAUCCACGGCAUCUUCUUCUACCAGACUGGGGAUGUCCUGGCAACUAAGCUGGUUGACACUUUUUUCCCACCAAACUGCUACUGAACUGAGUCAGCUGAGAGUGGGUUCAAAGAGACCAAGAUGGACGAAAACGGGCACUGCUUUAAUUAAGAUUAGAAUCAAGCCCAUCAAAGCCAUUUAACGUAUAUGAUGUUGGAUGUGCCCAAGGCAAAGUGCGCAGUUUUUGACAUCUGAGGCUGGAGGAGAGUUUCAGACCCACCAUUGAGAGAGUUUUGGAUGUGGGAAAUUUUGUUUGUAAUGGCAUAAUUAGGUUUAAAAUAAAAAUUAUCCUCAUUUCA
rnacentral:lncRNA from 13 species